rnacentral:rRNA from 1 species
AACGAACGCUGGCGGCGUGCCUAACACAUGCAAGUCGAACGAGAACGUUCCCUUCGGGGAGCUAGUAAAGUGGCAGACGGGUGAGUAACACGUGGGUAACCUGCCCGGAAGUGGGGGAUAACCUUUCGAAAGGAAGGCUAAUACCGCAUAACAUCUUCGACUCUGCGGAGUUGAAGAUCAAAGCUUGCCUCUACAUGUAAGCAAGUGCUAUCGGAGGGACCCGCGCCCCAUUAGCUUGUUGGUGAGGUAACGGCUCACCAAGGCCACGAUGGGUAGCCGGCCUGAGAGGGUGAUCGGCCACACUGGAACUGAGACACGGUCCAGACUCCUACGGGAGGCAGCAGUGAGGAAUCUUGCGCAAUGGGCGAAAGCCUGACGCAGCGACGCCGCGUGGAGGAGGAAGGUCUUCGGAUCGUAAACUCCUGUCGAGUGGGAAGAAUCCUGAAGGGAUGAAUAAGCUCUUCAGUUGACGUACCACUGGAGAAGCCCCGCUAACU